UUGAAUUUUUGUUAAAAAUAAAAAUAAAAAUAAAAUAAUAAUCUGUUCUUAUCAGUUUAAUAUCUGAUACGUCCCCUAUCUGGGGACCAUAUAUUAAAUGGAUUUUUCGAACAGGGAGAUGGAAAAAGAGCUUGCUCUGUCCACUCCACGCAUUGACCUGGUAUUGCAGUACCUCCAGGACCGGUGCACCCCUU